AGGGAAUGACGUCCGGUCUGCGGCGCUUGGGCGUUGGGCCAUGGCUGAUGAUGCGGUCUGCGUGCGUGGCUGGCCGUGCCUGCCGCGGUGGCUUUUGACCGCCCGUGUCGUCGUCCUCAGUGGCUCAGUGGCAACGUGUGGAAAGCCGAGUCCCGACUCCCGACUCCAAGCUAUGGCCUAUUAUAGGUUGUUGACAUCGGCCGCGGUCCGGAGGUAAGUGCUAAACUUCAGCAGUGAGAAGGCUCAAGUGUAACUUGACUUAGUAGUGUGGUGUGAUCACGUGGUGUAUCUUCUUCCGGCUGCUCUCUCAAAAAGAAAACUAUACAACAAGGAUUUCAAGAUGUCCGGUACAGCCCCAAUGUUCCCGAAUGCCUCCUGCAGGCAGAUUUGGGACGGUCCCGGCGUCUCUAAACAGAUCCGACACAUUCAAUAUAUAUGCUCAAGAUUUGUUUAACGAAUCCAGUUUCACUAUUGGUCGACAAGCACAAGCACUGGCCCCUGCAAAAGACAAGGUCGAUGCUUGGCGGCUCGAUGCAGAACUGAAACUAGUUUCCAGUGCAAGUGCCCAUUCUUUUCUUUUUCUUUUUUGUCAGGAAAAUAUCCUAAUGGAUGAGGAUUGAGGAACCCCUAAUAACAAACUGAUGUGUACUGCUAGCAGUACAGUGUUGCCCCGGGCGAUUGGAACAAGGGAGGGCUUAAGAAACCGAUGCCAUGAAUGAUUGCGAAGCCCAACUUUCUAUUGUUCCCGCGUGAUACGCGAGCUGAGCAAAGUAUCUCCGGAUUCCUAUUUAUUUUGCACGUCUCCAUCUUUCUGUGUGGGAGAGACAGAUUGCUGAAGUUACGGCCAUCCUAUCUAUGGUUUCGCAAUUUUCUUUUGGCGGCGAGUAUCAUUCCG
rnacentral:lncRNA from 1 species